CUACGGGAUGCUCCAGUGGGGAAUAUUGGACAAUGGGCGCAAGCCUGAUCCAGCAAUACCGCGUGUGUGAAGAAGGCCUUAGGGUUGUAAAGCACUUUCAAUUGGGAGGAAAACCUACCGGUCAAUACCCGGUAGCUUGACAUUACCUUUAGAAGAAGCACCGGCUAACUCCGUGCCAGCAGCCGCGGUAAUACGGAGGGUGCAAGCGUUAAUCGGAAUUACUGGGCGUAAAGCGUGCGUAGGCGGUUCGUUAAGUCAGAUGUGAAAGCCCUGGGCUCAACCUGAGAACGGCAUUUGAAACUGGCGGACUAGAGUUUAGUAGAGGGGAGUGGAAUUUCAGGUGUAGCGGUGAAAUGCGUAGAUAUCUGAAGGAACACCAGUGGCGAAGGCGACUCCCUGGACUAAAACUGACGCUGAGGUACGAAAGCGUGGGUAGCAAACAGGAUUAGAUACCCCAGUAGUC
rnacentral:rRNA from 1 species